rnacentral:rRNA from 1 species
UGGCGAACGGGUGAGUAACGCGUGGGUGACCUGCCCUCCAGUGGGGGACAACCUUGCGAAAGCGGGGCUAAUACCGCAUGACAUGGUGGGAUUGGAGACCCACCAUUAAAGCCUUCGGGCGCUGGAGGAUGGGCUUGCGUCCUAUCAGCUAGUUGGUGAGGUAAUGGCCCACCAAGGCGAUGAUGGGUAGCUGGUCUGAGAGGACGACCAGCCACACGGGCACUGAGACACGGGCCCGACUCCUACGGGAGGCAGCAGCAGGGAAUUUUGGGCAAUGGGCGAAAGCUUGACCCAGCGACGCCGCGUGGGGGAAGAAGGCCUUCGGGUCGUAAACCCCUUUUCUGGGGGAAGAGAAAGGACGGUACCCCAGGAAUAAGUCUCGGCUAACUACGUGCCAGCAGCCGCGGUAAUACGUAGGAGGCAAGCGUUAUCCGGAUUUACUGGGCGUAAAGGGGAUGUAGGCGGCCCUUUAAGUCCGAGGUGAAAUCUCUCGGCUUAACCGAGAGGGGUCUUCGGAUACUGAGGGGCUUGAGGGCAGCAGAGGGAGGUGGAAUUCCCGGUGUAGCGGUGAAAUGCGUAGAUAUCGGGAGGAACACCAGUGGCGAAGGCGGCCUCCUGGGCUGCCCCUGACGCUGAGGUCCGAAAGCGUGGGGAGCAAACCGGAUCAGAUACCCGGGUAGUCCACGCCCUAAACUAUGGACACUAGGUCUGGGGGGUAUCGACCCUCUCCGGGCCGAAGCUAACGCGUUAAGUGUCCCGCCUGGGGAGUACGGCCGCAAGGCUAAAACUCAAAGGAAUUGACGGGGACCCGCACAAGCAGCGGAGCGUGUGGUUUAAUUCG